rnacentral:rRNA from 12 species
GGCUCACCAAGGCGACGAUCUCUAGCUGGUCUGAGAGGAUGAUCAGCCACACUGGGACUGAGACACGGCCCAGACUCCUACGGGAGGCAGCAGUGGGGAAUAUUGGACAAUGGGGGCAACCCUGAUCCAGCCAUGCCGCGUGAGUGAAGAAGGCCUUCGGGUUGUAAAGCUCUUUCAGAUGCGAAGAUGAUGACGGUAACAUCAGAAGAAGCCCCGGCUAAUUUCGUGCCAGCAGCCGCGGUAAUACGAAAGGGGCUAGCGUUGUUCGGAUUUACUGGGCGUAAAGGGCACGCAGGCGGUCUUGCCAGUCAGGGGUGAAAGCCCGGGGCUCAACCCCGGAA